UAUGGAUGCCCACAAUUUUGAAAUUUUUAAUUAAUGAAAAACUUAGCGGGUUGUAUUUUCACCCUCACUCGAAUCAGGCUCCCAAAUCCCCCAAAUUCCCAAUUAAACUGCCCAUCCACUAUUCUGCUCGAUCUCCUCUAAACCUGGACUCCAACAUCAGCGACAAAAAAAAACAUCAUUCCUCUUUGGUUAAUUUUUGGGUUUUGCUUGCUAAACUUCAAGGUAUUUGGGGGUUUUUGGAUCGUCACUUUCAUAAAUUUCAGGUAUCAACUUACAAUUUGCUAUACAAUAUUGUUGCUCGGUAUAUAUCUAUCAUUUUUGGUACCUAAUAUCUCACAAUUCUCUAAAUUUCGUUAAAAUUGGGAAUUAUUCUUUGCAAGUCUUUAAUUUUGAGUUGGUGUAGAACAAGAAUCGAUCUCUUAUUGCGAGAAACCAAUAGUUCCUGCAGAGCUGUACCGAAAAGUGCGUGACUCUCAGCUUGUAGGACUUUCAGGCUACUCAAAAGAGGUACUGCAUGUAACCAGGAGCGAUCGUAGAAGCUCGACCACCAAGUCUGGUGAGGGAACCUAAAACAACACUGAAAGACGAACCAGGGACAAACCGAGUCCACAUCACAGAUGUCAUCUCGGUCAGAAAGUCUACUUGAUACAUCUUCAAGUUCGUCGGUCUCUUGGCCUUCUCAGAUAAUGGUCCUUGGAAUGUCCUGGACGAAUCCAAGUUGUCGAACCACUCGAUCAAGCAUGUAUGGCUCAAUGAUGCUACGGUACUGGAUGCAGCCAAUAAAUACAGUGGGUGGCACGUGUCGUGCAGGAUCAACUCCGUACGGGAGCUAGUUAACCUCAAGGACCGUCAGCUGAUCCAAUUUAGCACGAAAUGCGAGGGCCUUGAAAUUUCAGAUUUCCUUGUUGUUGUUGUUGUUGUUUUUUUUUUAAGUUUUUUAUGGCGUUUUCUAGGGUUUUAGUUUGGGAUUUUUCGACUAUGUUUUGAUAUGACUUUCUUGUUUUGAAGAUUGUUGGCUUGAUUAGUGUAUGUCAUAUACUUAUUUCAAUUGUGUAGGCUUGAUUAGAUUUCCCUAAUUGGAUGUUUCAUGUAAACUAUCUUCUAAUUUUGUAUAACUUUUUAUUUGUUGUUUCA